rnacentral:rRNA from 1 species
UCCGGCAGUUAGCUCUCUGCAACUCUCUUAUGGUCGCCCACUAAAGCUAAGCAGGGCUGCACCCUGCAGUACCUGGAUGGGAGACCACAUGGGAAAGCUAGGUUGAUGCCGGAA